CCUCCCCGCCCCCUCGUCCGCUCGCCCUCCUCCCGCCCUCCCCGCGCUGCAGCGCUCGCCGAGCUCAACCCGCGGGGAGGACGGAGUUCAGGCCGCCUGAACCUCUUGUUGGUUUUAUACUGAGUCGACGUCAUCCUGGAUUUAGUUCCUGUCACUUUGGGUCUGAAAACUACCAUAGGAAUCCGUAGGCCCUUUACACAGCGGAGACCAAAUUCAGCCGCUCAUUAAAAUUCGCCACCAAGAGUAGCACUCCGAAGGGAAGGGACGUGUCUAGCUGCUCCCUGCGUGGCUGUCGGCCCCAGGCUGCGCUCCCCGAGCCCCGGCGGCCUGGCCGAAGCCGGGCCCCGCUCGCUGCAGGCGGCCGCCGUGAUUCACCGGAGCCCCAGCCGGCCGAGCUGCUGGAGAUGCCUCCAGCCCACGGCCAAGCGCAGGCGGCGGACGCCCUUCGAGAAGGGCAGUCGAUGGAAGACAACUAAAGGCUGCAGCUCCUGCAGUGACUCUGGCCGCGUUUGUGUUCAGGGUUGGGUGCUGGGGCAGCACUUAUGUGAGUGGAUCUUUUAAGACCUUUGCUGAGCCAAGCGGAGUCGGAGUCACAGAAGCACUGCGGGAAACCGAGGCAGAUUCCUCAUCCUUUUCUGCAAAGGUGCUCAGAUCAGCAAGGCGCGCGGAGACACCAGCUAGAUUUCUAAAAGAGCGCUUUCUAGUUUUUAAAUAAGGCAGCCUCCCUGCCCCCCCCCCACCAUGUGUCAUGCUUCCACUUGGUACAUUGUUUUUUUUUUUUUUUAAUCAUGAGAUUUAGCAAACCUCUAGACUUCGCCCCUUGCCUUUCUGCAGUGCUCUCUCACUACCCUCGGAUUCCUGGAAGGAAGAGCACUGUACGGAGAGUCUGAGCGUCAGUUAUCCACGCAACACAGCCACCUUGGAAAUGAUCCCUCCUCUGUAGGUCUCGGGUUGGUUGUUUUUUUGUUUGUUUGUUUGUUUUUGGUUUUAAGUUGAUGGAAACAACGCCAACCAUCAUUGGGUCCCUUACAACCAUAAGAAUUAAUAAGGCUAGCUAAUUGUCGCCUGUUCGCCAAGGAGACCUGGGGGGUAGACUUUGGAGCAUUUUUCUAGUUUUUUGCAUUGGGGCAAAGGAGCGUGCUAUCCCCACCCCCACCCACCUCAGGGUCUCUAUCAGCUGGUUCCAAGAUUAGGCAAAGGGAGUCUGGGAGCUGUGUCCUCUUGCAGAAGGGACUUUCUGGGAAGAGGUCACAGGGACCCAGACCCCGCUCUACUCCAGUUACUCAGCCGGUUAUUCUCUCUCCCUCUCAGGGAGCUCACCCCCUGCAAGGCGGGGGCUCCCCAUCCUGGCUGCCCCUCAAUCAGCGGGCUGCAGUGUCCGCGGGGAGGCAGGAGCGGGGGAAGGUGAUGCGCAGCCCGUGCUGAGCGUCCUCCACGGGGCCAAAACCCACAAGUGUCCGUCGGGCGCUAAACAAUCAUCCGCCUCGCUUCGCCAGGCGCAAUUGGAAUAACAAAUGCAAAGCACGCAAAUUGCCUGCCUCCUGUUCCUAAGCGAUUGUUUGUCGGCCCCGCACGCACCGCUCAGCAUGGGAGGACCCGGAGCGUCCGGAGGCAGCCAGCAAGCGCUUAGGUCGGACAUGCAAUACACACGCCGCUGAUUUUACUUAUUAUCACCCAAACACGAUUUCACACAAAGCAAUCACCAUGCCAGAAGUCUAUGAAAAUGUGUUUGUUGAGGAGUCAGUCGCCCCAGUAAUAGCCCUCAUUUUUAAUAUAUUAAAGAACAGAUCAGCGGAUUCCGUACGCAUAAGGUAGAUGUGCGGACCUGGUAUGUGUCAAGGCGCUUUUGCUCCGUAAUCAUCGCUAAAUUGAUUCAUAGGGCACAGAUUAAAUUGCUUCUCUGAUUUAAAACGGAGAGCCCAAAUUCGGAGAUUUGGAGUGUGCGUCUGGGUAUCUCCACUGGCCGGCCCCAAGAAAGUGUCAUCGUGGAGAAAACUGUCACCCAUAAUCUUUCCACGCACACGCACAUGCACACAGGCACGCACCCCGCUGGCUGUAAAAAAAAAAAAAAAGCAUAUGCGGUCCUAACUUCUUGCGAUUUCGGGAACUUUCUUAAUUUUUUCAGCCUCUCACC